CUGGGGUGAAGUCGUAACAAGGUAACCGUAGGGGAACCUGCGGUUGGAUCACCUCCUUACCUGAAGAUAC
rnacentral:rRNA from 1 species